rnacentral:siRNA from 1 species
UUAUUUACAAUGGCUGCCACAUCU